GAAGACCUGGCUUUUUUCCCUCGAAAGGCCGACUUUGACUGCAGAAAUCUCAUCGAAGGGGAAGCGCCCAGCGGUGGAGGGACGGAAGGCAGUGGCAGAGUGGGGCGCCUGGGACCCCACCAAGCCCCUGCUGUGAACUCAGCCCUGAGUAAAGCCACACCAAUAGGGACUCACAGGAACUGGGUUACUCUUCUACCUGAAGCAACAAAGCAACACUGCAACAGCACCACACAAGAUGCCCGAAAUGCAGAUUUCCAAGAUCCUGGGCAUCAGGUAAAGAGGACAGCCAUCCCAGACACGUGGAAACACCCAGGGGAGCGGAGCCCUACAAGUGCUCCAAGGUACUGCCUCCAGAGAGUUUCCAAGCAAGGCACCGGAGGGAAGGGCUGCUGAAGAGGAGCCCUGCGGACCUCGUAGAGUUGAGGACACUGGUCUGAGAGACCCCUGGACAGAGGAGAGACGGGGAGGACAGGGCUGUGCAAAGUCACCUAGCCAGAGCUGUGUUGGGGCCCUAGGGUGGUGUGCAGUGAGGUCCUGCUCAGGGCCUCCAUGGAGGCAAGGCCAGCAAGUCAGGCGGCCAUCCUUUGAACAGGGCCUGGUGCAUAC
rnacentral:lncRNA from 1 species